AUUGAACGCUGGCGGCAGGCCUAACACAUGCAAGUCGAGCGGUAGAGAGAAGCUUGCUUCUCUUGAGAGCGGCGGACGGGUGAGUAAUGCCUAGGAAUCUGCCUGGUAGUGGGGGAUAACGUUCGGAAACGGACGCUAAUACCGCAUACGUCCUACGGGAGAAAGCAGGGGACCUUCGGGCCUUGCGCUAUCAGAUGAGCCUAGGUCGGAUUAGCUAGUUGGUGGGGUAAUGGCUCACCAAGGCGACGAUCCGUAACUGGUCUGAGAGGAUGAUCAGUCACCCUGGAACUGAGACACGGUCCAGACUCCUACGGGAGGCAGCAGUGGGGAAUAUUGGACAAUGGGCGAAAGCCUGAUCCAGCCAUGCCGCGUGUGUGAAGAAGGUCUUCGGAUUGUAAAGCACUUUAAGUUGGGAGGAAGGGCAGUAAAUUAAUACUUUGCUGUUUUGACGUUACCGACAGAAUAAGCACCGGCUAACUCUGUGCCAGCCGCCGCCGUAA
rnacentral:rRNA from 1 species